UACAGAGGUCUCGAGCGUUGUUCGGAUUCAUUGGGCGUAAAGGGCGCGUAGGCGGCGGGGUAAGUCUGGUGUGAAAUCUAGGAGCUCAACUCCUAAACUGCACUGGAUACUGCUCUGCUGGAGGACUGGAGAGGAGACUGGAAUUCACGGUGUAGCAGUGAAAUGCGUAGAUAUCGUGAGGAAGACCAGUGGCGAAGGCGGGCCUCUGGACAGUUCCUGACGCUGAGGCGCGAAGGCCAGGGGAGCAAACGGG
rnacentral:rRNA from 1 species